rnacentral:misc_RNA from 1 species
GAUGAAGAACGCAGCGAAAUGCGAUAAGUAAUGUGAAUUGCAGAAUUCAGUGAAUCAUCGAAUCUUUGAACGCACAUUGCGCCCCUUGGUAUUCCAUGGGGCAUGCCUGUUCGAGCGUCAUCUACACCCUCAAGCUCUGCUUGGUGUUGGGCGUCUGUCCCGCCCCCGCGCGUGGACUCGCCCCAAAUCCAUUGGCAGCGUUCCUUGCCCCCUCUCGCGCAGCACAUUGCGCUUCUCGAGGGCGGCUCCGGGACGCGAUCCAGCAAGAUGACCACCGUCUUUGACCUCGGAUCAGGUAGGGAUACCCGCUGAACUUAAGCAUAUCAAUAAGCGGAGGA